rnacentral:rRNA from 1 species
UUGAACGCUGGCGGCAGGCCUAACACAUGCAAGUCGAACGGUAACAGGAAGAAGCUUGCUUCUUUGCUGACGAGUGGCGGACGGGUGAGUAAUGUCUGGGAAACUGCCUGAUGGAGGGGGAUAACUACUGGAAACGGUAGCUAAUACCGCAUAACGUCGCAAGACCAAAAAGGGGGACCUUCGGGCCUCUUGCCAUCGGAUGUGCCCAGAUGGGAUUAGCUAGUAGGUGGGGUAACGGCUCACCUAGGCGACGAUCCCUAGCUGGUCUGAGAGGAUGACCAUCCACACUGGAACUGAGACACGGUCCAGACUCCUACGGGAGGCAGCAGUGGGGAAUAUUGCACAAUGGGCGCAAGCCUGAUGCAGCCAUGCCGCGUGUAUGAAGAAGGCCUUCGGGUUGUAAAGUACUUUCAGCGGGGAGGAAGGGAGUAAAGUUAAUACCUUUGCUCAUUGACGUUACCCGCAGAAGAAGCACCGGCUAACUCCGUG